ACUGUAAACACAUUCUCUGAGACUCUUCCUGUGUGCCUGUGUGUCUGUCUCUCUGUGCAUCUCUGUCUCUGUCUCUGUCUCUGUCUCUGUCUCUGACUCCCUCUCUCUGUCAGGAAUAUUGCAGCAUGACUGGGAAGCCUGUCCUUCAUUACUUCAAUUGAAGAAGAAGAAUGGAGUCCAUCCGGUGGCUCCUGGCAGCAGCUGGAGUAGAGUUUGAGGAAGAACUUUUUGAAACCCAUGAAGAGUUUGAGAAGUUAAUCCAAGGUGGAACCCUGAUGUACGAGCAAGUGCCCAUGGUGGAAAUCGAUGGAAUGACUUUGGUGCAGACCAGUGCCAUCUUAAGAUAUGUAGCUGCAAAAUAUGACUUGUAUGGAAGGAACCUGGAGGAACAAGCCUGAAGAGAAGGAGAUGAACCUUGAAUACAUCCUCCACCGAGCUACAACAAGAUUCUUCCCCGUUUAUGAGAAGGACUUCAAGGUGAGAACCAGCCAAAUUCCUACAAUUAACAGCUUCCUCCAACCUGGAAGCCAGAGGAAGCCUCCUUUGGAGGAGCGAUCCAUUGGGACUGCAAAGGACAUAUUCAAAUUUGAAUGAGGACUGUUUCUUAAAAACAUGAGCAAUAUAGUAGCUGAGUAUUAACAGCUACAGAGGCUGGAGUUACUCAGUAAGUAUACUGAGUAACUUGACACUGCAUUCAUAAAAAGACACUCACUAAGUAUAUGGCCAGAGAAAUAUCCUGAAGUUAGUAAUAAAUGUUAGGAAUCUUAGUAUGUUAGCAAUGUUAGAAUGUUAGUAAUGGAAAUAUUAAAUGUGUAAGAGAAAAACUACUAGAAGCUUAUCAAUAAACUACAAGAACCAACUCUUGUUUGAAGUAAGACAGGCUACCAAGACAGAAUUCAGAAAAUCCAAGGAGCCCUCGGCCUUCUGUAUGAUCCUAGAAUAAACUUGUAUGUAGCAAGUGAAA
rnacentral:lncRNA from 1 species